GAUGAACGCUGGCGGCGUGCCUAAUACAUGCAAGUCGAGCGAACAGACGAGGAGCUUGCUCCUCUGACGUUAGCGGCGGACGGGUGAGUAACACGUGGAUAACCUACCUAUAAGACUGGGAUAACUUCGGGAAACCGGAGCUAAUACCGGAUAAUAUAUUGAACCGCAUGGUUCAAUAGUGAAAGACGGUUUUGCUGUCACUUAUAGAUGGAUCCGCGCCGCAUUAGCUAGUUGGUAAGGUAACGGCUUACCAAGGCAACGAUGCGUAGCCGACCUGAGAGGGUGAUCGGCCACACUGGAAAUGAGACACGGUCCAGACUCCUACGGGAGGCAGCAGUAGGGAAUCUUCCGCAAUGGGCGAAAGCCUGACGGAGCAACGCCGCGUGAGUGAUGAAGGUCUUCGGAUCGUAAAACUCUGUUAUUAGGGAAGAACAAAUGUGUAAGUAACUAUGCACGUCUUGACGGUACCUAAUCAGAAAGCCACGGCUAACUACGU
rnacentral:rRNA from 1 species